UACGAAGGGGGCUAGCGUUGUUCGGAAUCACUGGGCGUAAAGCGCACGUAGGCGGAUCUUUAAGUCAGGGGUGAAAUCCCGAGGCUCAACCUCGGAACUGCCUUUGAUACUGGGGAUCUCGAGUCCGGGAGAGGUGAGUGGAACUGCGAGUGUAGAGGUGAAAUUCGUAGAUAUUCGCAAGAACACCAGUGGCGAAGGCGGCUCACUGGCCCGGAACUGACGCUGAGGUGCGAAAGUGUGGGGAGCAAACAGG
rnacentral:rRNA from 1 species